rnacentral:rRNA from 1 species
UAGUCCUAGCUGUAAACGAUCUGUACUAGUCCGUGGGGGCUUCCACACCUUCUCGGACGUAGCGAAAGUGUUAAGUACAGCGCCUGGGGAGUAUGGUCACAAGGCUGAAACUCAAAGGAAUUGACGGGGGCUCACACAAGCGGUGAAGCAUGUGGUUUAAUUCGAUGCAACGCGAAGAACCUUACCUACCCUUGACAUGCCGGUCGCGAUUUCCAGAGAUGGAUUUCUUCAAUUCGGUUGGACCGUGCACAGGUGCUGCAUGGUUGUCGUCAGCUCGUGCCGUGAGGUGUUGGGUUAAGUCCCGCAACGAGCGCAACCCCUAUUGUUAGUUGCCAGCGAGUAAUGUCGGGGGACUCUAACGAGACUGCCCGCGUAAGCGGAGAGGAAGGUGGGGACGACGGUCAAAUCAUCAUGGCCUUUAUGCCUAGGGCUACACACGUGCUACAAUGGCAGGUACAGAGGGUUGCGAAGGGGUGACCUGGAGCUAAUCUCAGAAAGCCUGUCCCAGUUCGG